AGAGGGAGAGGCAUUGGCAGCAGCUGUAAGGGAUAAACAAUUACAGGGAAUAAAGAGGGGCGUUGGUCCCAUAACUGGAGGCGGGCAAUGCAUAGCCUGUAAGGAGGCAUAUAAAGGAGCCAGCCAGGGAUGAGAGGCUGGCUGGUGGCAAGUGUCAGGGCCCCGCCGGAGAGGAGCCAACACAAGGAACAAGCAGCCUGGGAUUGAUGAGGCACAGGAUGACGCUCAACUUCCUCCCUGUCCUUGCUCUGAGGCCAGACUCGAGUUCCAGACCUACAGUUAGAUAUAUCACCACAAAAUAGUCUAUAUCCCAUGCUAGUUGUUGCAGAAGAAUCAAGGCUGGGCUUUCCACAGCUGUACAAAUAAGCUCCCCAACUCGACUCAACAUAAAGCCCAUUUUUGCCAACUGGCAAACAGCUGAAAGAAAUUGCCAGCUCAUCUUCAUCACCUUCUUUGCCUUCUGGAAUUCCUGGUUUGGAGGCCAAGAACAGCUUUCCCAAGGUCAAGUGAUCAAGCCACCUAUCCCUUUAAGGAAAAUAUUUCAUUUCAUAUGACAAAUGGCACACAAGAUAUUCACUGAAUGAAGACAUUCCUAAUCAACCAACAAGAACUAAAGCAAGAAAAGAAAACUGAACCUGAUUCCCCAGCCAAACUCCAGUCUGAGACUGAGGCUCCCUUGCUGAAAGCAAAGGAGAGGAAUGUGAGUGAAGGAAGAAGGAAAACUUGCUGUUAGCUAAGUUAAUGGGUUGUUUGAGCCCAGCCAUAAUCCCACUGUGUCAACCACUAGCAGCAAAUGGCAAAGCAAGUCUGAUUGCUAAGGGCACACAGGGCUCCAAGAUCUACCAUUACCACCUUCAAGCAGAAACAUGAAACCCUUUCCACUGAGGAAAUAUGAAAGAGAAAGCCACUGCCGAGAAAUGUUGCCAAGAUGCUGUAUCCAAUCUCCUCUCUCUUUAAGACUGACAACUGCUAGCUUGCUUUCCAACCAAGUGAACACACAAAACUGCAUUUAAUGGGGGAAACUGUCCAUUUUCUGUGAUCUUUUUCCCUUGUAAAAGUUUCCGGAAAUUGGUCAAGACUAAUGUGGGUGGCACAAACAAGAUCUCUAGGAAAAUGGGGCAGAGUAGCUCUAAAACAUUCUGCUACUAGAAAGUAUCUAGCUACAAGUCCCAUUUAUCCUCCUCAAUUCUUCUGUUUUGGUCCCCAGACUUACCACUGCCCUUUACCUGUGGGUUUGAUAUAAAUGAGCUUUCACCAAAAUCUUUUAAGUGACCAGCAAAUGACCUCACAAAGGCCAGUACCUUCACAUCAGAUAUGAAAGUUAAGAGGUAUUGAAUAAGUUCACAAAGGCGUUCGCUGUGACAUCAAAACCUGAGCAAGCUAAUAAUCCUAACUUCUCAAAGGCCAAUGCUUUGGCAUCAUUUCAGGGACUGAGAGUUUACCACAAAGGAAUUUGUGUCUUCACAAAAGCCCAGCAGGCUACAAGUGCUUAAGAAAACACUACACCACACAAGACGGGUUGGUGGCUCUGAGCUUCUGGAACCAACCAACAAAACUGAAAGGUCAAUUCUGAUUGGAUUGCUGCAACAAGAAGAACUGCCAUUAUGAACUCUCUAAUCUCAGUGUUUAGUCGCAAAUAGGCUCUCUUAAACUAGGAUAACCAACAUGCAGUGAGGAUGCCUUUGUAAGGGGAGGAUUAAGAAGAGGUUGGAGGAAACUGAAGCUUUCUGGACUUUCAUGCCAAACCACAAAUUUGAUGGAAUUGAGUAUUCAGUAUAAUAUUAUUAAAUUCCUCAUGUCUCAUAUUUUUAUCUCA